rnacentral:rRNA from 1 species
AUUGAACGCUGGCGGCAGGCCUAACACAUGCAAGUCGAGCGAGCGGCGGACGGGUGUGUAAUGUAUGGGGACUGCCCGAUAGAGGGGGAUAACUACUGGAAACGGUGGCUAAUACCGCAUACUAUCGGAUAACCCAUAUGGGAUUAGCUAGUAGGUGGGGUAAAGGCUCACCUAGGCGACGAGCUCUAGCUGGUCUGAGAGGAUGAUCGGCCACCCGGGGACUAAGAAACGGCCCAGCCUCCUCCGGAGCAAGCGGUGGGGAAUAUUGCACAAGGGGGGCAAGCCUGAUGCACCCAUGCCGGGGGUAUGAAGAGGGCCUUAGGGUUGUAAAGUACGUUCAGCGGGGAGGCGUUACCCGCAGAAGAAGCACCGGCUAAUUCCGUGCCACCAGCCGCGGUAAUC